GUGUCAGCCGCCGCGGUAAUACGUAGGGUGCGAGCGUUAAUCGGAAUUACUGGGCGUAAAGCGUGCGCAGGCGGUUGUGUAAGACAGAUGUGAAAUCCCCGGGCUCAACCUGGGAACUGCAUUUGUGACUGCACGGCUAGAGUGUGUCAGAGGGGGGUAGAAUUCCACGUGUAGCAGUGAAAUGCGUAGAGAUGUGGAGGAAUACCGAUGGCGAAGGCAGCCCCCUGGGAUAACACUGACGCUCAUGCACGAAAGCGUGGGGAGCAAACAGGAUUAGAAACCCCGGUAGUCC
rnacentral:rRNA from 1 species